rnacentral:lncRNA from 1 species
CGGGCUUGGCGUUCUCCUCCCAUGUGGCAGGGAUGUCGUCUGCAUAUCGCAUGUGUUCAGGAAUGCUUGGUCUUGGCUUGCUCACGGCUUCUUCUUCUGUUUCUCGAAUUGCGAUCUCCGCUGGUGCACCGGCUGUUGGGCUUCUGAUGGGGACCCCUCUUCUUUGUUCAUAGUAUUUACCUCUGAAGUAAAAAUAUGAGCAGUGACAUAUCAUGUGUGCAAUGUCCCUUAAUUUUGGUGCUCGUUGUUGAAUAAGUUCAAACAACGAGCACCAAAACCCAAUGAGACCAUUACAACGUAUGAUUUUAAAAACCUUUACCCAUCGAUAAACUUAGAGGCAGCAUGUAUGGCACUCUACCAUUUCCUUCUUAAGAAUGUGCCCGACUCAAGAGAAGCACCUAAUAUAUUGAGGGACAUUGCGCACAUGAUGUGUCACUGCUCAUAUUUUUGCUUCAGAGGUGGGUGCUAUGAACAAGGAGGAGGGGUCCCCAUCGGAGGCCCAGUGGCUGGUGUUCUGGUGGAGAUCGUGAUUCGGGGGGUGGAGGAGGAGGCCGUGAGUGGGCUGAGACCAGGCAUUGUUGAGUGUGUGCGAUGUG